CCUACGGGGGUCAGCAGUCGAGAAUCAUUCACAAUGGGGGAAACCCUGAUGGUGCGACGCCGCGUGGGGGAAUGAAGGUCUUCGGAUUGUAAACCCCUGUCAUGUGGGAGCAAAUUAAAAAGAUAGUACCACAAGAGGAAGAGACUGCUAACUCUGUGCCCGCAGCCUCGGUAAUACAGAGGUCUCACGCUUUGAUCGGAAUCACUGGGCUUAAAGGGGUCGUAGGCUGUUUCGUAAGUCGUGGGUGAAAGGCGCGGGCUCAACCCGCGGACGGCACAUGAUACUGGGAGACUAGAGUAAUGGAGGGGGAACCGGAAUUCUCGGUGAAGCAGUGAAAUGCGUAGAUAUCGAGAGGAACACUCGUGGCGAAGGCGGGUUCCUGGACAUUAACUGACGCUGAGGCACGAAGGCCAGGGGAGCGAAAGGGAUUAGAUACCCCUGUAGUC
rnacentral:rRNA from 1 species